rnacentral:tRNA from 1 species
UGUAGUUUAGUUUAUAUAGAAUUUUUAUUUUUGGUGUAAAAGGUUUAAAGUACAGU